AACGAACGUUGGCGGCCUGGAUUAGGCAUGCAAGUUGAGCGCACCCAGCAAUGGGGAGCAGCGUAAGGGGCAGUAAGGCAUAGGUACCUACCCGCAGCUCGGGCAUAGCCUGUAGAGAUACAGGGUAAUUCCCGAUGACGACGCAAGUCCAAAGCUCCGGCGGCCGCGGAGGGGCCUAUGUGAUAUUAGCUAGUUGGUGGGGUAACGGCCCACCAAGGCGAAGAUGUCUAGCGGGUGUGAGAGCACGACCCGCGCCACUGGCACUGAGACACUGGCCAGACACCUACGGGUGGCUGCAGUCGAGGAUCUUCGGCAAUGGGCGCAAGCCUGACCGAGCGAGGCCGCGUGGGCGAUGAAGGCCUUCGGGUUGUAAGCCCUGUCGAGGGGAGAAAG
rnacentral:rRNA from 1 species